AUGCGAGAUCCCUGGCCAGGAGCCCUGCCAAGCAGCAACAGAGAGGGCGUGGCAGGGAAGCAGGAAGCAGUUUCCCCAGCAGCCCGGGAAGGAAUGAGGAGCAGCUUUGUGACCACCACUCCCUCAAACCCAGGACUCUGGUACACAUGCUCCAGAACCCAAGUACCCGUAUGUCAGUGCCCUGCAGCUAGUGCUGCAUGCCCGGAGAAGGGACGGGACCAAACCACAGCCAGGCCUUGGACGGAGAGACCAGAGCAGAGGCCGGCGUGGUGCUGGAUUGGGCCGUGACAGACUUCCUCCCCGCGGAGCCCUCUGGAAUGCUUGGAACUCAGCGGUGACAGUCCAGAAGUUUCUCUUUCCCUGGAGGGCUCUGGCUUGGAGGGAAAGGUCUAGAUAAGGGCCUGAGCUUUAUCUUUCCUCCACCCCGCCUCUCCUGUCCCGAGGACUUCACGUACGCCAAGGGCGGAACAAUGACUCUGGGACGUUUGGCUACCCUGGUCAGCCUGCCCACUUCCUGUCCCUGUCCCUGCCCCGGGAUUAAGGAAAACAACUACUUCUUAUGUUUAGAUAGCUCUCGGCGGUACACAAUGGGUGCUCAUAAACGUGCCCUCGCUAAAAAUGUCUCCUCCCGCCCAAAAUAAAUACAUCAAAAUAAAAAUGUCUUCCCCCACGCCUCACUGCUCAGGUAGGACUCACUGUCUCCCUUCCCAGGUAGCUCCGUCAGCACCUGUGACUCAGCCGCGGUUGUUAUUUGCUGCGUGUUUUCUGGUCACUCUGUGCUGAGUACUUUCCAUGUGAUCAUCUUUCUGUCUCCUGUCAGCCCUGGUGGGUGGUUACUAUAAUUAUCUCCCUUUACAGAUCAGGAAGCUGCAGCCCACAGGGAAAGCGAGGCGCCCCUCAGCAGCAAGCGGUCCUCAGCUGGAGCCGGGAUUCCAGCUCAGCCUGCACGCCUCCAAGCAGCGCGCUGUUUCCCAUCACACAACACUCGUCUUAGCAUUAUCAAGAGGCCAAGGGGAGGGCUGGGGAUUUAGCUCAGCGGCACAGUGCCUGCCUGGCAAGCACGAGGUCGUGAAUUCGCUUCCGAGUACCAGAAAAAAACCAAAAAAAAAAAAAAAAGACCAA
rnacentral:lncRNA from 1 species